UUUGAUUGUUUUCACCUGUGUCUCGUUGUCUCCCUCACCAAGUGUAUUUCAUCAGAGUUUUUCCUUUGUUCAUUUUGUUGUUGCAUCUCUGUUAAGCAGCCUAGUUUGUUGUUCUGUGGAUUCUUUGUUUCCCAGUACCUUGCCUGUAUGUGGAUUUUCCUGCUCACCAUUGGACUUGUUUUUUGGUUUUGACGGCUUACCUGCUGUGAGCUACUGUUUGCCUGCCUACUCCUAUAACUGCUCAAGCUCUGUCAGGUUGCAUGGGGAUCAUUGGUGAACAGCCUUUUUCAAGUCCAACCACAAAUUAUUGAUUGGAUUGAGAUCUGGACUCUGCUGGAAAACAAAUCUUCUCCCAAGUGGCAGGUUUCUUGCAGACUGCAGCAAAAUACAGGCACAAGGAAUUCACAGGAAACGAUGCAUGCGUGAACUGGAUGUGAUGCAGAAGACUGGAUCAUGAGUUUAGUAUAAACGUCUUCCUUAUUACAACGAACAUGACGUGGUGGACCUCUCAGUUCAAGGUUCGCCUCUUGUCUGAAGAUUCCUGUCAUCUGCUCUGCUCUCCGCCACGGCAAACAAUUCCUGGAGUCCACGUGUCUGUCUUCAUUGUCUGCCAGCCUCUCCACCACGCUAGACAACUCCUCGAGUUACAGAACAGCUCUCACCACCUGCUUGGCUUCUCCACUCAGCUCGACUGCCGGAUCA